CCUACGGGUGGCUGCAGUGAGGAAUAUUGGUCAAUGGACGAGAGUCUGAACCAGCCAAGUAGCGUGAAGGAUGACUGCCCUAUGGGUUGUAAACUUCUUUUAUAUGGGAAUAACAUGUUCCACGUGUGGGAUUUUGUAUGUACCAUAUGAAUAAGGAUCGGCUAACUCCGUGCCAGCAGCCGCGGUAAUACGGAGGAUCCGAGCGUUAUCCGGAUUUAUUGGGUUUAAAGGGAGCGUAGGUGGAUUGUUAAGUCAGUUGUGAAAGUUUGCGGCUCAACCGUAAAAUUGCAGUUGAAACUGGCAGUCUUGAGUACAGUAGAGGUGGGCGGAAUUCGUGGUGUAGCGGUGAAAUGCUUAGAUAUCACGAAGAACUCCGAUUGCGAAGGCAGUUCACUGGACUGCAACUGACACUGAGGCUCGAAAGUGUGGGUAUCAAACAGGAUGAGAUACCCAAGUAGUC
rnacentral:rRNA from 1 species